UGGGUUCUUAUCCCAUUUUGGACCAAAUUUCAGCAAGUCUUCCUACACACUUUUAAACACUCUUUAUCUAUCUCUAUUACUUGUAAUCAAUCAACUUCAUUGUAUUCUAACAAAUUCUAACCCCAAACAACAUUAAAUAAGUCAUUUAGUGGUUCAACGCAAAGUUUCCGAGUUUUUAGCCCAUUUGGGACCCAAUUUCAACAAGUCUUUCUCCACACUACUAAACACUCUUCAUGCACCUCUAACACUUCUAAUCAAUCAAAUUUAUUGUAUUCUAACAUAUUCUAACCCCAAACAACACUAGACAAGCCAUUUAAUUCUUCAAACCAAUGGUUGUGGGUUCUUAGCCCAUUUUGAACAAAAUUUCAGCAAGUCUUUCUACACACUUUUAAACACUCUUCAUGUAUCUCUAGCACUUGUAAUCAAUCAACUUCAUUUUAUUCUAACAUAUUCUAACCCCAAACAACACUAGAUAAGCAAUUUAGUGGUUCAACGCAAUGUUUCCUAGUUCUUACCACAUUAAGGACCUAAUUUCAACAAGUCUUUCUCUACACUUCUAAACACUCUUCAUGCACCUCUAGCACUUGUAAUUAAUCAAAUUUAUUGUAUUCUAACAUAUUCUAACCCCAAACAACAUUAGCCAAGCCAUUUAAAACUUCAAAGCAAUGGUUGUGGAUUCUUUUCUAUCACUUGUAAUCAAUCAACUUGAUUGUAUUCUAACAAAUUCUAACCCCAAAUAACACUAAAUAAGUCAUUUAGUGGUUCAACGCAAUGUUUCCGAGUUCUUAGCCCAUUUGGGACCCAAUUUCAACAAGUGUUUCUCCACACUUCGAAACACU
rnacentral:lncRNA from 1 species